GACGAACGCUGGCGGCGUGCUUAACACAUGCAAGUCGAGCGGUAAGGCCCUUUCGGGGGUACGACGAGCGGCGAACGGGUGAGUAACACGUGGGUGACCUGCCCUCAGCUCUGGGAGUAAGCCUGGGAAACCGGGUCUAAUACUGGAUAUGACUCCAUGACGCAUGUUGUGGGGUGGAAAGCCUUGUGCGGCUGAGGAUGGGCCCGCGGCCUAUCAGCUUGUUGGUGGGGUGACGGCCUACCAAGGCGACGACGGGUAGCCGGCCUGAGAGGGCGACCGGCCACACUGGGACUGAGACACGGCCCAGACUCCUACGGGAGGCAGCAGUGGGGAAUCUUGCGCAAUGGGCGAAAGCCUGACGCAGCGACGCCGCGUGAGGGAUGACGGCC
rnacentral:rRNA from 1 species